rnacentral:rRNA from 1 species
GAGCGGCGAACGGGUGAGUAACACGUGAGCAACCUGCCCUAGGCUUUGGGAUAACCCUCGGAAACGGGGGCUAAUACCGAAUAUUCACUGCUGGACGCAUGUUUGGUGGUGGAAAGUUUUUCGGCUUGGGAUGGGCUCGCGGCCUAUCAGCUUGUUGGUGGGGUAAUGGCCUACCAAGGCGACGACGGGUAGCCGGCCUGAGAGGGCGACCGGCCACACUGGGACUGAGACACGGCCCAGACUCCUACGGGAGGCAGCAGUGGGGAAUAUUGCACAAUGGGCGGAAGCCUGAUGCAGCGACGCCGCGUGAGGGAUGACGGCCUUCGGGUUGUAAACCUCUUUCAGCAGGGACGAAGCGCAAGUGACGGUACCUGCAGAAGAAGCGCCGGCCAACUACGUGCCAGCAGCCGCGGUAAGACGUAGGGCGCGAGCGUUGUCCGGAUUUAUUGGGCGUAAAGAGCUCGUAGGCGGCUUGUCGCGUCGACUGUGAAACCCGUGGCUCAACUGCGGGCCUGCAGUCGAUACNGGGCAGGCUAGAGUUCGGUAGGGGAGACUGGAAUUCCUGG